rnacentral:sRNA from 1 species
CUAGCCAAAGAGGAUUUCAACAAAAACUGCUUUAUCUAAAUUCAGGAAGGGAGGGUACCGCUGCUCAGAAUUUCUCCUGUUUCAUCUACAAUGUGGAUUUCAUGAACUGUACCUGGGCGAGGGGUCCGACGGCCCCCCGUGACGUCCAGUAUUUUUUGUACAUACAAAACUCAAAGUAAGUGUUCACCUCAUGUGAAGAAUUAUGAGCAAUGCAGGGAUGGGAGAAAAAUCAUGCUUGUUUUUUUUUUCUUUUUCUUUUUUUAAGACAUGGUCUUGCUCUGUUGCCCAGGCUGGAGUGUAGUGAUGUGAUCUCAGCUCCCUGCAACCUGCGCCUCCCUCCCGGGUUCAAGUGAUUCUCCUGCCUCAGCCCCCCGAGUAGCUGGGACGACAGG